CCUACGGGUGGCAGCAGUGAGGAAUAUUGGUCAAUGGACGAGAGUCUGAACCAGCCAAGUAGCGUGAAGGAUGACUGCCCUAUGGGUUGUAAACUUCUUUUAUAUGGGAAUAAAGUGUUCCACGUGUGGGAUUUUGUAUGUACCAUAUGAAUAAGGAUCGGCUAACUCCGUGCCAGCAGCCGCGGUAAUACGGAGGAUCCGAGCGUUAUCCGGAUUUAUUGGGUUUAAAGGGAGCGUAGGUGGAUUGUUAAGUCAGUUGUGAAAGUUUGCGGAUCAACCGUAAAAUUGCAGUUGAAACUGGCAGUCUUGAGUACAGUAGAGGUGGGCGGAAUUCGUGGUGUAGCGGUGAAAUGCUUAGAUAUCACGAAGAACUCCGAUUGCGAAGGCAGCUUACUGGACUGCAACUGACACUGAGGCUCGAAAGUGUGGGUAUCAAACAGGAUUAGAUACCCUUGUAGUC
rnacentral:rRNA from 1 species